CUAGUGAUUAGAGUUUGAUCAUGGCUCAGAUUGAACGCUGGCGGCAUGCCUUACACAUGCAAGUCGAACGGCAGCACGGGUGCUUGCACCUGGUGGCGAGUGGCGAACGGGUGAGUAAUACAUCGGAACAUGUCCUGUAGUGGGGGAUAGCCCGGCGAAAGCCGGAUUAAUACCGCAUACGAUCUACGGAUGAAAGCGGGGGACCUUCGGGCCUCGCGCUAUAGGGUUGGCCGAUGGCUGAUUAGCUAGUUGGUGGGGUAAAGGCCUACCAAGGCGACGAUCAGUAGCUGGUCUGAGAGGACGACCAGCCACACUGGGACUGAGACACGGCCCAGACUCCUACGGGAGGCAGCAGUGGGGAAUUUUGGACAAUGGGCGAAAGCCUGAUCCAGCAAUGCCGCGUGUGUGAAGAAGGCCUUCGGGUUGUAAAGCACUUUUGUCCGGAAAGAAAUCCUUGGCUCUAAUACAGUCGGGGGAUGACGGUACCGGAAGAAUAAGCACCGGCUAACUACGUGCCAGCAGCCGCGGUAAUACGUAGGGUGCGAGCGUUAAUCGGAAUUACUGGGCGUAAAGCGUGCGCAGGCGGUUUGCUAAGACCGAUGUGAAAUCCCCGGGCUCAACCUGGGAACUGCAUUGGUGACUGGCAGGCUAGAGUAUGGCAGAGGGGGGUAGAAUUCCACGUGUAGCAGUGAAAUGCGUAGAGAUGUGGAGGAAUACCGAUGGCGAAGGCAGCCCCCUGGGCCAAUACUGACGCUCAUGCACGAAAGCGUGGGGAGCAAACAGGAUUAGAUACCCUGGUAGUCCACGCCCUAAACGAUGUCAACUAGUUGUUGGGGAUUCAUUUCCUUAGUAACGUAGCUAACGCGUGAAGUUGACCGCCUGGGGAGUACGGUCGCAAGAUUAAAACUCAAAGGAAUUGACGGGGACCCGCACAAGCGGUGGAUGAUGUGGAUUAAUUCGAUGCAACGCGAAAAACCUUACCUACCCUUGACAUGGUCGGAAUCCCGCUGAGAGGUGGGAGUGCUCGAAAGAGAACCGGCGCACAGGUGCUGCAUGGCUGUCGUCAGCUCGUGUCGUGAGAUGUUGGGUUAAGUCCCGCAACGAGCGCAACCCUUGUCCUUAGUUGCUACGCAAGAGCACUCUAAGGAGACUGCCGGUGACAAACCGGAGGAAGGUGGGGAUGACGUCAAGUCCUCAUGGCCCUUAUGGGUAGGGCUUCACACGUCAUACAAUGGUCGGAACAGAGGGUUGCCAACCCGCGAGGGGGAGCUAAUCCCAGAAAACCGAUCGUAGUCCGGAUUGCACUCUGCAACUCGAGUGCAUGAAGCUGGAAUCGCUAGUAAUCGCGGAUCAGCAUGCCGCGGUGAAUACGUUCCCNGGGUCUUGUAGACACCGC
rnacentral:rRNA from 1 species